CUCAGGUCUUCGCUGGCCUCACCUCAAACAGCAGCACUGCCUGCUCCCGAUUUUGCUUGAUCCUGUGCAGUUCCAGUUCUGCCCGGGUCAGUAUCGAUGGCUCAGGUAGCAGUGAGCAAAGUGUGAUUGCAGCUCAGACAGCUUGUUUCCAGAGCCUGCAGCAUCUGUAGCACUCAGCUCUUCUGAAACCCUGCAAGGUGAUCUAUUACAACUCACUUCCAAAUGGACCAGAAGAAACCAUUGGAAACCUUCCAGCAUCUCAAGAAAGAGAGGCAGCCUCAAAAAGUUGAAAACUGCUGCACAAGGGCUCAAUGCCACUGAAAUUAUCACAUAAUUUACAAACACAGGAAGGCCAAGAAUAUUCCAGCAUUUACCAGUUCUCUCCUAAGGACCCAGGGGAACUACCGU